GGAUUGCCCUAGUAACGGCGAGUGAAGCGGCAACAGCUCAAAUUUGAAAGCUAGCCUUCGGGUUCGCAUUGUAAUUUGUAGAGGAUGCUUUGGGUAAAACGCCAGUCUAAGUUCCUUGGAACAGGACGUCAUAGAGGGUGAGAAUCCCGUAUGUGACUGGAAAUGUUAACCUAUGUAAAGCUCCUUCGACGAGUCGAGUUGUUUGGGAAUGCAGCUCUAAAUGGGAGGUAAAUUUCUUCUAAAGCUAAAUAUUGGCGAGAGACCGAUAGCGCACAAGUAGAGUGAUCGAAAGAUGAAAAGCACUUUGGAAAGAGAGUUAAAAAGCACGUGAAAUUGUUGAAAGGGAAGCGCUUGCAAUCAGACUUGUUUAAACUGUUCGGCCGGUCUUCUGACCGGUUUACUCAGUUUGGACAGGCCAGCAUCAGUUUCGGCGGCCGGAUAAAGGCUCUGGGAAUGUGGCCUCCACUUCGGUGGAGGUGUUAUAGCCCAGUGUGUAAUACGGCCAGCCGGGACUGAGGUCCGCGCUUCGGCUAGGAUGCUGGCGUAAUGGUUGUAAGCGACCCGUCUUGA
rnacentral:rRNA from 1 species